GAAAUGCGAUAAGUAAUGUGAAUUGCAGAAUUCAGUGAAUCAUCGAAUCUUUGAACGCACAUUGCUCCCGCCAGUAUUCUGGCGGGCAUGCCUGUCCGAGCGUCAUUUCAACCAUCAAGCCCCCGGGCUUGUGUUGGGGACCUGCGGCUGCCCGCAGGCCCUGAAAACCAGUGGCGGGCUCGCUGUCACACCGAGCGUAGUAGCAAUCACCUCGCUCAGGGCGUGCUGCGGGUUCCGGCCGUUAAACAGCCUUACAAAACCCAAGGUUGACCUCGGAUCAGGUAGGAAGACCCGCUGAACUUAAGC
rnacentral:misc_RNA from 1 species